rnacentral:ncRNA from 1 species
CACCGUGAGGCGUAGGCGAGAGGAAGGGAUAGCAAAAUCGUAGCCUUACGAACAGAAACCCAAUACUAAGGCGUAUACGGCGGAUAAGUGGGCUAUGAGUCACGAAGUCCAAAAGGCAACCGUAACCCGUAUGCGUAAAUUGGGAAGGUAGACGAGGAAAGAC